CCUACGGGAGGCAGCAGUGAGGAAUAUUGGUCAAUGGGCGAGAGCCUGAACCAGCCAAGUCGCGUGAGGGAGUACUGCCCUAUGGGUUGUAAACCUCUUUUGUCGGGGCGCAAAAGCCGGACGUUUCCGGCUGUGAGAGUACCCGCAGAAACAGCAUCGGCUCAUUCCGUGCCAGCAGCCGCGGUAAUACUGGGGAUGCGAGCGUUAUCCGGAUUUAUUGGGUUUAAAGGGUGCGCAGGCGGAGUUUUAAGUCAGCGGUAAAAUCGUGGGGCUCAACCCCAUCCAGCCGUUGAAACUGGGGAUCUAGAGUGUGCGAGAGGUAUGCGGAAUGCGUGGUGUAGCGGUGAAAUGCAUAGAGAUCACGCAGAACCCCGAUUGCGAAGGCAGCAUACCGGUGCACAACUGACGCUCAGGCACGAAAGCGUGGGUAUCGAACAGGAUUAGAUACCCGAGUAGUC
rnacentral:rRNA from 1 species